UUUAGUACAAGUGUUUAUUGUCCUUUCCCCAAGGGCACAUCCAAACCAGGCUCCAGCCCCUAAUGAGGUUAGUUCACAUGCGUUGAACACCAGCUCUUCUACCAGUACCGUUACAGCCAAACAUUAAAAGCACCCUCCCCCCCCCCAAUAUUCCCUGGAAGGAAGUUUCCAACAGGGAGUAAUGCAGUCACACGGAACACGGGUUAGGGCACUGGAGGGAAUAUACAGGUUAUCUUUAAAAGACACAGUGAGUUGCUGCUACCAAGACCCUGGGGCUCGCCCAAGGGACAGCCUGGCUACCCCGGCUGUUAGGCAAAGCAGGGAUGAGGGGAUGGAUAACCACAACCAGCAGCACAGGAGGCUGCUAACUGCAGGGAGAUAAGGGUUAAGGGAUAAGUCUUUGCUCUCCAGAGCAGACCGUACCGAAAUAGGCAGCCAGAAAAGAUCCAUUUCAGCUCAUGCUGGUUCCUCCUGGCUCCUUGAAGCCCUGGCAGGACCAUGCCCUCCCCAGGACCACAUCCUGUCCCAGGGAUGUUCCUAUCCCUCUCCCAGGGAGUUUGUGGCUGUCCUGCAGAAGGAGGGGAGCCUACCCCAGCCCACCAGGCAGCAGCGAGGGGGACAAGGGGAGCCGGCUCCAUCCAUGAGGAGCAGGAGCUGGGAUCACUAGUGGUUGGUGCUGCAUUGCUACGGGAGCGAAGGAGCCACCCAUGGUCCCAGGCUGGGUGCUCCAGGGAGCUGGAGAAGGCUCCAUUCCACGGCAUAAAACAUCCCCGAGCGGGGAGGGAGCCGACAUGAGGGUGUGAAGCAUCCCCAACCUUCCCGGUGUUUGGCCCUGGAGCCACUGUCAGCCAUAAGGAAGGAAGACUUGAGAUGGAGAAGGAGCUGCCAAGGGGGAGAGGAGGGUGCAGGGAGCCCGGGGGCCUCCCCACUGCCGGGGCUCAUCCUCCAGCCAUUGCCGGCUUUCCCACCACGUCUGUCCCAGGUCUCUUUGGUUUCCCACCACCGGAACGCCGGUGGCGCCGUCUCCUCCUGCCGGGAGCCGUGUGGGCCGAGCCUUAGGCCGGGACCUCGGUGCUGUGGGGCCGGACGUGCUCAUCGGUGACCGACAGGUAGGUGGCUCGCAUGCUCGGGGAGAGAGCCUCUGCCGAUGAGGGGCACGUUCUCAUAGCGCGGGUUUCCACCGAAGAGCACGGCUUGGUUCCUGAGAGGGGAGAGCCCGUCAGUGAGACCCCCCCGUCCCCCUGCACCCGGUGCGGGUGAUGCUCCAUCCCCAAGGUGUGGGGUACCCAAAGGUGCGAGGGGGGGGUCUCACAUGUACUCGGAGACGGGCGCGUUGGAGAUGGUCUGUGCCGGCGGGUGCAGGCUGCUCUGGCUGCCCAGGCUGCUGCUGUAGCUGCAGAAGCUGCGGAGCUGCCCGCGGGCCGGGUUGUGGCUGGCGAUGCGCCGCGCCUGCGGGUUGAAGGGGUCCUCAUCGUCCAUGUCAUCAUAGUCCCGGUCCCUGCGGGGACAAGGCAGCGGGGAUCACCCCCUGUCCCAAAGGCAGCUCCCCCCGUGCCCAGCUCACGCCCCAGUGAAGGCAGGGCUGCGGCAGACCCACCGUCCGGUGAAGAGCUUCCACGCGCGCGGUGUGGCGCAGAUGAUGGUGGAGAAGGAGGCGGCCACCAGCAAGGAGAAGAGGACCAGGUAGAGCAAACCCUCCACCCCAUCAUAGCAGAUGCCAAUGAGGGCGUCCAGGUAGUCCU
ensembl:lncRNA